rnacentral:rRNA from 1 species
UUGCCUGCACCUGCCGGCGACCGGCGCACGGGUGAGUAACACGUAUGGAACCUGCCCGCCACAGGGGGAUAACCCGGGGAAACCCGGCCUAAUACCCCAUGCCGCCCGGACCGGGCAUCCGGUCCGGGCGAAAGGAGGAAUCCGGUGGCGGCUGGGCAUGCGGCGCAUUAGCUUGACGGCGGGGUAACGGCCCACCGUGGCGACGAUGCGUAGGGGUUCUGAGAGGAACGGCCCCCCACACUGGAACUGAGACACGGUCCAGACUCCUACGGGAGGCAGCAG